UUGAGGCGCUUUCCUCUACCGCCUGAUGCUGUACCACAUAGUUAUAGUCUGUGAGAAGAAGAUGAGCUCUACUAUCUUGGUGGAAACAACAGAGAGGAACAUAAACACCAAACCUGCAAGACAAGGAGUACUCACGGAUAGCCAAGGAAGAGGAGAUUAAGUACUGAAUGGCUUCGAAAGAGAUUGACUAGGGUCCAACAAAGUACCCAUCCACACAAAGUGAGAAGCACCAAGCGAGCUGAUAUCAGAACCAUGUAGUGAAUCAUAGAUGCUGCACCCGCCUUGGUGGCCUGAAAGUUUAGAAGCAUCAAAGGGUUUCUCAUCAAAGUAUGGUCCAUGGACCAGUCAUCAGAAUCACUUGAGUUGCU